CUCCGAUGACACACAGAUUGGUGAUCCCCCGCUUCACCAGGUUGUGGGCAGCUCGGAGUCGUCCUUCUCGCUCCCGGAAGUCCUUGCAUCGGGCACUUCCAAUCACCGUGCCUCCCUUUAGGGGAGAAACAGGAGGGCCUCACUGUGUAUCCUGGCUGGCCUGGAGAUGUAGAGUCUGUAGACCACGCUGGCCUCCCAAUCAGAGAUCUACCUGCAUCUGCCUCCAGAGUACUUGGAUUAAAGUCAUUGGCUACCA